UACGGAGGGUGCGAGCGUUGUUCGGAUAUACUGGGCGUAAAGCGCACGUAGGCGGCGUCGUAAGUCAGGGGUGAAAUCCCGGAGCUCAACUCCGGAACUGCCCUUGAAACUGCAAUGCUAGAAUCUUGGAGAGGCGAGUGGAAUUCCGAGUGUAGAGGUGAAAUUCGUAGAUAUUCGGAAGAACACCAGUGGCGAAGGCGACUCGCUGGACAAGUAUUGACGCUGAGGUGCGAAAGCGUGGGGAGCAAACAGG
rnacentral:rRNA from 1 species